CCUACGGGAGGCAGCAGUGAGGAAUAUUGGUCAAUGGGCGCGAGCCUGAACCAGCCAAGUCGCGUGAAGGAAGACUGCCCUACGGGUUGUAAACUUCUUUUAUAAAGGAACAAAGUGAGGCACGUGUGCCUCUUUGUAUGUACUUUAUGAACAAGGAUCGGCUAACUCCGUGCCAGCAGCCGCGGUAAUACGGAGGAUCCGUGCGUUAUCCGGAUUUAUUGGGUGUAAAGGGCGUGUAGAUGGGUGGUUAAGUCAGUUGUGAAAGUUUGCGGCUCAACCGUAAAAUUGCAAUUGAUACUGGCAGUCUUGAGUACAGGUGAGGUAGGCGGAAUUCGUGGUGUAGCGGUGAAAUGCGUAGAUAUCACGAAGAACUCCGAUUGCGAAGGCAGCUUACUGGACAGCCACUGACGCUGAUGCACGAAAGUGUGGGGAGCGAACAGGAUUAGAUACCCCGGUAGUC
rnacentral:rRNA from 1 species